UCGAGAUUGCCGCCUGCAGACCAGCUACGUGCAGUCACCAGCAUAUCCAGGACUAGCUAUAUCCUGGGGCACUAAAUUGUCGCUAUAAACUUCACACCAGACAACAGUACAUCAAACUUUAUCUUCAAAAUGAGCAAUUUUCGGUCGAUGGACAACAGUGCGAAAACUUAAUGACGUGUCCUAUAAGGCCAAUUGGGUCUGGCAACGAACACUGGCCCUUACGAUUGGUUGGUCGUUUACGAUGGAUGGGAGGAACAUUCGCCACUUAUUGGAAAAUUUUGCGGUCUCGGAAAGUUUCCAUUUAGUAUAAUCGGUAUGUUGAAUUUGUAUCAUCUCCCGCUGGACCACUACUGAAUACGGGAUUCCAUUUUAAUGUUGGAAAUUGGCCAGGACACGUAGAGACGGCUGGCAUUAAACAUGGUAUAUGUGAUUGGCUAUUAAGUUCGGAUGCUUCAAAGGACAGCAGAGUGCAUCGGAGGGAAUAUUCCUUAGUAUAGCGCAUUGGUAUCCACCGAAUACAUCUUGUAGUUAAUCACAUUAAAGGACGAACUGGAGAAAUUUUCAGGCUGUAUUUUCCAAGGUAAGUGUGGUUGGUUGG